rnacentral:lncRNA from 1 species
ACAACUCUUGCCGUCCCCUUCUAGCAAAAUAAUUGCUUCUUGUUUGCAAUGAGAUUCGAACCCAAGCUAUCUCUAUUGCCAAGUUACGCCACAUGCCACCAAGCCACAAGGCUUUUUGUGUCAUAAAACACAUGCGAUCACCUAUGAAGCCUAGGUGCCAGUGCUCAGGGUCUUUUAUGAGCAAAAUAAAAAUCUUCAAAAGCCGAAGCUCGAAACCCAG